AGAAAAUUAAGAAUCUUUUUAAAUUUUGGUAAAUGACCUUUCAUGAGCUAUUAAGUCUUAUAUGAAAAAAUAAAUGGGUGUUAUUGGGCAAAAUAUUUUACAUUGAAUUGUAUGGAAAAAAACCAAGGAGUCCGAACAUUUGACACAAAUUUCAAAAUCUCACCUAAGUACAUCCUUAAUACCAUAUUAUGAAUUUUGUUUGUUUCUUAAGUCCCUGCCUUAUUGUGACUAUUUGGAUGCUUCAUUCUCUAUUUUAUUCUGACACUGAAUUUUAAAACUUUUUAAUCUUUUAAAAUUUUUAAACAUCUGUUAAGACAUUCAACCCAAUACUGACAAUAGUGUCAAUUUACAGUUAUUUCCCAUGAUUAAAAACAAUGUCAUACUUUAUUACUCCUGAUAAGUUAGGUUACUGCUGAUAAAAUGCACAUUUGAAUAAUUAUGUCGGCAAAGAGAAAAAACAAUGUCUUGUGCAAAAAUUACUAGAAAUAUAUUCUAAAAAUUAUAUAAAAAAAAAAAAAAAUCCAAAAUUGAAGACUUUAGAAACUUUUAUUCUAUUUUAUCUUUAUUCAGUUUUAAAGUUACAUGUAAUCUAGUAAUCCUAGCAUCUCAUUAAAAUUUUGUUUUAAUUUACAUUUUGUUGACUGAUUAGAUAUAAUUGAAUGUAAUAUGAACAAAAGAAAUGUAAGAAUAGUGUAUCGCUUAAAAAACUUAUUGUCCUUCUUGAUUCCGUAUUUUAAAGCAAACUUACAUUAGAAAGAAAAAAAGUAUCUUUGAGUAGCUGUCUCAUUGAUGUUUAAGUCACACUUUGUCCAUAAGUAACAUAUUCUUACUUAGAAUGAACCUGCAGAGGAGAUAAUUUACAGGGUUUACUUAGAAUGAACCUGCAGAGGAGAUAAUUUACAGGGUUUUAUAAGUAUAAAUCCUCAGACAUAACAAUUGUGGAAGGGAUGGGAUUUUUAGAGUCUAUUUAUUGGUGGAAGAAAUACAACAUAUGUACAGAAAAACUUACUAUCGUGAUACAUCCUAACAAAUUCAAUAACCAUUGUGAAAGAAGAACAAGUUGUAGCCAUGGUGAUACUUGUGUCAAAAGUAUAUGAAAGCAAGUGCUGAAAGCAUAUUGUAUGUGUUUAAAUUAAUCAAAAUAUGUACUGUUAAACAGAUGUUUUAUUUGACAAAUAUAUCCUAUAGAUUCUUGCUAAAUUCAAACUUUAAAAUGGCAUCUAUGAUGUCAGAUUAGGGUUCACUUAACAGUAAGCAAUACCUAGUAGGUCAGGGGUUGUUUUAGGUUAAAGGUUAGAAUUGUGUAAGAGUUUAAAAGAUAUAGUUAUAGGCUUAGGUGUAGGGUUAAAGUUAGUUUUGUAUAGAUUGUUAUAUUGUGGAAGAAAAAAUUGCCAAAUAACCAUUUAUCACACAUCUAUAUAUCAGGGAUCUUGCUAAGGAUUUAUGGGCGAGUCCAGGGACUUGUCAUUUUUGGCCUCGGUGAGUCUAACAGCAAGAAGAAGAUAUUUUAUUGAAAUAUAAUGUAAUAUUUUAGUCUAACAGAGCAAUAGAAUGACAUUAAAUUCAGAUUACUUUUAACUUUUGCUGUAAAAUGAUGAUAUUUCAUAUUUGUGUUUAACUGUGUUCAGUUUAUACAAAAUAUUUUAAUCUUGAUGCAUCUGUGGAUCACCAGUUUGAAAAUGGUGAGUCCAGACAGAUUUUGAUGAGUCCAGGACUCAUGGACUCGCCUUAGCGAGAACCCUGUAUAUGCUUUAAUCAUAUGCUCUACUUAAUAGUUAAAAUUCUGAUUAUUGUAAAUAUAAAUUUUAAUGUACAUUUUCACAUUUGUUAGUGUUAGAAAUUUUUAAAAUAAAAGUUUUAUGAAGUGAAAAGGACAAUCAUAGUCUCAUAUUGGUGCCAAAAUUAAAAUUAAACUAAUUAUACUGAAGACAAUAAAAUUUAAACGAAGUUUUUGAAUAGUUUGUAGUAUUUCCUAGUUAAUAAUUGUUACUGUGGAUUCAUUUAUUUUCGUGGGUAUGACUUUUCGUGGAUUAAGGAUAACUUGCAUGUUUUCGUGGAUUAAGGAUAACUUGCAUGUUUUCGUGGAUUAAGGAUAACUUGCAUGUUUUCGUGGAUAAUUGAUUUCAUGGUUUUGCUGAAGUCUGCAUUGAAAACGUUUUAUUCGUUAAACAUUUAAUUUCGUGGUUCACCUAUACCCACUAAAGCCACGAAAAUUGGUAUCCAACGAAUAAUAAUGAAUCCACAGUACUUGAUAAAAUAAGACUUACUGUAAAGAGAACAUGUAGAAAAUAGGCUUAAAAUUUAAGGAUGUACUUAGGUGAGGUUAGGUGAAAAUUAAUAAAUUAAGAAGUUAAAAUUGAUACUAUAAGCUGGUAGAGCAUUAAUUAAAGAUUAAAAUAAGCUAAAAAUAUUGUUAGGUCAUGGACCGCCUUUUCAAGAUAUUUGAGAUUGUAAAUGUGGCGGGAAAGGCUGACUCGGACUUUUACCUUAUAUUUGCAUUGGUAUUAUUGUCUCAAACAAAAGAAGAAAAAA
rnacentral:lncRNA from 1 species